AACCAGCACCUCAAGUGGUCAGGAUGAUUAUUGGGCCUAAAGCAUCCGUAGCUCGUUUUGUAAGUUUUCGGUUAAAUCCAUGCGCUUAACGUAUGGGCUGCCGGGAAUACUGCAUAACUAGGAAGUGGGAGAGGUAGACGGUACUCGGUAGGAAGGGGUAAAAUCCUUUGAUCUAUUGAUGACCACCUGUGGCGAAGGCGGUCUACCAGAACACGUUCGACGGUGAGGGAUGAAAGCUGGGGGAGCAAACCGGAUUAGAUACCCGGGUAGUCCCAGCUGUAAACUAUGCAAACUCAGUGAUGCAUUGGCUUGUGGCCAAUGCAGUGCUGCAGGGAAGCCGUUAAGUUUGCCGCCUGGGAAGUACGUACGCAAGUAUGAAACUUAA
rnacentral:rRNA from 2 species